GAUGAACGCUGGCGGCGUGCCUAAUACAUGCAAGUCGAGCGAAUGGAUUAAGAGCUUGCUCUUAUGAAGUUAGCGGCGGACGGGUGAGUAACACGUGGGUAACCUGCCCAUAAGACUGGGAUAACUCCGGGAAACCGGGGCUAAUACCGGAUCACAUUUUGAACCGCAUGGUUCGAAAUUGAAAGGCGGCUUCGGCUGUCACUUAUGGAUGGACCCGCGUCGCAUUAGCUAGUAGGUGAGGUAACGGCUCACCAAGGCAACGAUGCGUAGCCGACCUGAGAGGGUGAUCGGCUACACUGGGACUGAGACACGGCCCAGACUCCUACGGGAGGCAGCAGUAGGGAAUCUUCCGCAAUGGACGAAAGUCUGACGGAGCAACGCCGCGUGAGUGAUGAAGGCUUUCGGGUCGUAAAACUCUGUUGUUAGGGAAGAACAAGUGCUAGUUGAAUAAGCUGGCACCUUGACGGUACCUAACCAGAAAGCCACGGCUAACUACGUGCCAGCCGCCGCGGUAA
rnacentral:rRNA from 1 species